UACGUAGGGUGCAAGCGUUGUCCGGAAUCAUUGGGCGUAAAGAGCUCGUAGGCGGUCUGUCGCGUCUGCUGUGAAAACCUGGGGCUUAACCCUGGGCUUGCAGUGGGUACGGGCAGACUAGAGUGCGGUAGGGGAGACUGGAAUUCCUGGUGUAGCGGUGAAAUGCGCAGAUAUCGAGGAGGAACCACCGGUGGCGAAGGCGGGUCUGC
rnacentral:rRNA from 1 species